rnacentral:rRNA from 1 species
GAUGAACGCUGGCGGCGUGCUUAACACAUGCAAGUCGAACGAAGCACUUUAUUUGAUUUCCUUCGGGACUGAUUAUUUUGUGACUGAGUGGCGGACGGGUGAGUAACGCGUGGGUAACCUGCCUUGUACAGGGGGAUAACAGUUGGAAACGGCUGCUAAUACCGCAUAAGCGCACAGCAUCGCAUGAUGCAGUGCGAAAAACUCCGGUGGUAUAAGAUGGACCCGCGUUGGAUUAGCUAGUUGGUGAGGUAACGGCCCACCAAGGCGACGAUCCAUAGCCGACCUGAGAGGGUGACCGGCCACAUUGGGACUGAGACACGGCCGAAACUCCUACGGGAGGCAGCAGUGGGGAAUAUUGCACAAUGGGCGAAAGCAUGAUGGAGCGACGCCGCGUGAGCGAAGAAGUAUUUCGGGAUGUAAAGCUCUAGCAGCAGGGAAGAUAAUGACGGUACCUAACUAAGAAGCACCGGCUAAAUACGUG